CGGACGACAUUUCCGACUGGUGCCCGCAGGGGCGGGAGAAUAGGGAAUACGGUGCAAAACCGUAACGUUGGGCCGACGCUGUAAGCGGGGACCACGACCGCACGAUGCCACUGCCCCAGGGCGGGAAGGCGCGGCUGUGGGCUGAUCCGCAAGUCAGAAGACCUGCCAGUCCGGAACACCAGGA
rnacentral:ncRNA from 2 species